rfam:Candidatus Pacearchaeota archaeon CG1_02_30_18 cg1_0.2_scaffold_3216_c, whole genome shotgun sequence.
GCCUGGGUAGCUCAGCUUGGAUUAGAGCACCACACUCCUAAUGUGGGGGUCGCAGGUUCAAAUCCUGUCCCGGGCG